CUGGAAUUCAGGGAUUAUCUUAAUAGGAUCAAUGUAAACAUUCCUUAUUUUUCUCUGGCUGAGCUUGUGGUCCAACGCUCCCUCCCCCCCUCCUUCUCUCUCUCUCUCUCUCUCUUUCUAACUCUGUCUUUGUAUUUUCUCCGCAUAAGGUUUUAAGUGCACUUGGUGUUUCUCCAAACACAACCGCGGCGUUGACCAUUUGUGGCGUAGCAUGACUCAAAGCUGCCGUACGGCCCUUGUCUUUCUCUCGUGAUUAUUGGGCGAUGUGUUUUGUCUCUCUGUGCACCUCCCUUUCUCAGCCACAAGGGGGCACCUCUGACAACGUGGUGCUCUUCCCUCCUCACUCUGACCAUUCAGAGCCUCAACAUCAGGCUGAAGUUCACACAGAAAGAUCAGCAGCGGAGAAGAGGGAGAGCAGGGCAGAGAGCGGAGCGGUCCACACCUCGCUGCCCGCAGCCCACGGACAGGACGCACAGGGCAGCCCGUCGCCACGGCUACCGCGCUCUGCCGAGGACGAGGAGCGGUGGGGGUGCCGGGCGGAGGACAGGGAGGAGCUGGAGUUUCCACAUGACCUGCUGCCCAGCACUGACCUCAGCACCGAGCUCAACCUCUCUUGGGGGACGUCUCUUGGGAGUGAACAGGUGAGCUCAGGUGAGAUGAAGAGUGAGACAGUGACACGGUCCGGCCCAGCAAACCCUCUCUUGGCUGGGCUGCAGCACUACCUGGACGUGAGCCCCCCCGCCCUGGGCAUUGGGAAGAGCCCGGAGGGUGACCCAGUUCAUAGCGGCCCCCCGCCCCAGACCCGCUCUCCUGCUGGGCCUCAGGAGGAGCCCACCCCGCCCCUCUCCUCAUCCGAGCAAAUCAACUUGGAGCUCCAAGCCGCCCUCCAGGAAUGCGAACAGCAAAUGGCCUCCCUCGGUAUGUCCUGCCAAGCAGACUCUGCAGGGCCCGGCCAAGCCGCUGGCAGGUAUCCGUCUGAGGCCACGACUAAAAAGGAAGGGAAGAGAAAGAAAAGGAAGAAGAAAGGUGCGAGUCAGAAGGUGGCAGCCGCCCAGCCGGGGCGGGAGACAGAUCUCCAAGGUAAUGGUGGAACUCAGUCAAGCGGCGUGGCAACUGGGCAGGAGGAGGAGGUGGUCAGUUUCAGUUUCAAAAGCUACAUUUUAGGCAAUGCCAAUGAUGGCGAACGGGACAAAGAGCCUAAAGAGUCAAAGGUGAGCGAAGCCACAAUAAAACAAGGGGCAGUCUGUCUGACAGAGACUGAGAUUGGAUCACAGACAGAAACAAAUACCGCAUUGAGACAGGAACAGGCACAUAUUUGUUUACUGACCGAGGCUGAAGUAAGGCCCAAGAGCAACACAUCAGAGGGAAUGCAAACUCAUGAACCAAAACUAGCCACAAAAGCAUAUGGGCUCCAGGCAACAGUGGAAGAAAAAGACUUGUCUAUGAGAGGUUCAGGAAGUGAAGCCUGUGCAAGCUUUCCUCUAAAAUGUACUCCAGCAGAAGCCAGCCUCUUACCGAACACACAGACUAAGAAAGCCGCACAUUUAGUCAAGGACCUGGAGGCAAAAAAUACACCAAGCGAGGCUAAUCUGUCACAGAAUGAGUCAAACCAGCACUCAGAGCCGGCCCUGUUCCCACAGACCGCAGCAGAGACGGCCCUGUUCCCACAGACCGCAGCAGAGACGGCCCUGUUCCCACAGACCGCAGCAGAGACGGUCUCCCUCACAGACUCAGCCCCUAAUGCAGACACACGUGCUGACGAGCAGACAAACCCACAGGCUGAGACGAAGACACAUCAUGCGCCGACGCAGACACAUCAUGCGCCGACACAGACACGCAGUGGAGAGACAAAAGACAACAUAAUGCCCGGGACCAUCACGCAGUCUCCUGGGGCACCAGGCUCAGAUUUACACGAACAGCUGAGUCCCCAGAGGGAGGCGGACAUCUGCCCCCCGUCCCCAUCCUCCGCGUCUGCGCGGGCUCAUCUUACCCUCCCUGAGAGCUCACCUGCCCUCUCAUUGGCCCUCGCUCUGGGGCAGGAGCAGCCGGCCGACCACAGCCAGGCAGAUGGGUCCCGCUUACACACACCAGAGCCGGAAACCACACCCCGCCACGGCCAGUCAAUAGCACACACACACACAUACACACCCCCACCCCCACCCCCACCCCACCACGGCCAGUCAAUAGCCAGGGUGGAAAAUGACAAAAAUGCGGUGGGGAUGUCUGCAGCCGAGGCCCAGGCGAUUGAUCCGAGCCGCCCCGGGGGUGUCGACGAGCGUGGAGCUCCUGAGGGACCAGGGCCACUGACAGACCAGAGCAGCAGCAGCAGCACACUUCCUGUGAAGGCGGAAGAUGAGUCAGAGAGCGAAAGGGAAAGAUCAGGCACUCAGAGUCAGGUGGAAACACUCAAAGUAGACGAAGGUGGAGCGUUUGUGUUUAACCAGGAGAAAUCAGCCUCCCCGAAUCAAGAUAAAACGUUUAACCCGGACGAAAAAGCUCUAACUUACCCGCAGGAAGCACUCAGUGAUAAGCAGGCAGAAAGAGGUCCUAUUAGCAAGCCUGCCCAGCUGAAAAUAGAGAAGGAGCCUCUGAAUAAAGAGCAAACGCUCUCUUUGGACCUGACCCUCCUCCCGGUCCACUCUUGUGUGGGAGAGGAGGAGGAGGAGGAGGAGGAGAAGGAGGAGGGGGAGAGCGCCCUUCAAGAGGCUUCCGUGCGGGCUGCUGCCGAUCCCGCCGCGUUGCCACUGACAACACCCACGUUGCCAGAAAUGAUAGAAAGCGAGGGAGAGCAAGAGGAGAAGAGAGGCGAUCUGAGCGAGACAGACCAAACGCUGAAAGCAGCGGAUUCCGAGGCAGCAGUCGGAGCUGCACCUUUUAGUGAGACACACAAGCUUCUGAUCCCAACAGGCGAGCAGGAGGAGAGUGAAAGCCUCCUUGGUAGGCAGCCCGAGCCCUCGUUAAUCUACUCCCAGAUUAAUUGCUCACCUGCAUUGGGAGUGGAGGAGAAGAAAACUGCGUUUUCCAGUGUCUGCAGCAGCAGCAGCAACAGUGACAGCAGCAGCAGUGGCAUUAGAAACAGUAGCUGCGAACAGAACUCAGUGGUGAGUGAGGGGAAGGGAGGGGGGAAGGGAGGGGGGAAGGGAGGGGGACAGCCAACAAACAGCUCCCUGGGGACAGACGCUGUCUCACCAGCCGGGGAAGGAGAGCCUAAAUCACUCCAGACAGAGGACCAGCCCUGCACCAGCAACAGUGCUGCUCCUCCCGGGCUUCAGAGAGCACGAGACAGCCAGGAAGAUAGCGCAGGAAGAUUGGAGAGAGAGAGAGAGGGAGACGGAGAGGAAGAGGGAGAAGGAGAGGGAGAGAGACACACAGAGAAGGAGGAGGAGAGGAGGGAGCAGAGAGGAGGUGGAGCGCAGUCUUCGCUCAGACAGCCAGCGGGUUCGUCCAGCGAGGUGUCACUGACGACGGAGACUGAGACAUGUCCGCCCUGCGACUCUGCCACCGAGCCACAGGAUACAGAAGCACAGCAGCACCAGAGCACUGAGCCACAGGAUACAGAAGCACAGCAGCACCAGAGCAGCGUUGAGCGUAUCACUCUCAUCUCUGCCAAACAGGACUCUCUUCCACUGCCUGUCAGCGGCGCAGGCUCGGCCGAUCACUCUCCGCCUCCUCUCUCUCAAACAAACUCUGCCGACGCUGAGAGAAUAGCAGAGGGGCAGAGAGAGGCUGAGCUGAAUCGGUGCCGGAACACAACAGCAGAAGAGGGGGCAUUCAGUGCCACUCUGCCACCCUCACAGGAGGGGGCAUUCAGUGCCACUCUGCCACCCUCAGAGGCUGCCACACAGAGGGCUUCUUCAGUCGGUGCCAGCCAGCAACAGGUAGAGCAGUCCCACGACCCGCCACCGCUACUUGGCACCGGGAGUCCACAACCUCCGGAGAGCGUGACGUCGCCGGCUCCGCAGCCUGGUGAGUGUCAGCCCACCAUGUGGGAAACUAUUGGCAGCUACAGUAGUGCGGGGAACAUCUUGAAAAGAAACGAUGGGAGACGCUUGGCAGGCGUGCCCGGCGCUCCGAACGCCACUCCAGUCGUCUGCGCCUCCUUGCCUCCCCUGACUGUGCACGAGAGCCUGCGGCACCCGGUGUCGGAGACCAGCUUCAGCUUCCAGGAGUACUUUGGGACGAAGGCGCCGGAGAUGCCCCCUCAAACACAACCACAGUUCACCGGCGAGAGUCCCGCGGAGCUGAGAGAACCCAAACACGAACGCAAUGCGGAAGAACCUGGAGCAACACAGAAGGAGGAACAGCGAGGAGGGAAAACAACGAGUGUUAGCCUCACAGAACCCAGCCAGGAGGACGAGCAGACAGCAGAGUCAGCUUCCUAUGAUGAAAAGACUGGAAAAGCACCGGAUGACGCUCUGCCUGCUUCUCAGGAGAAAGGAAGCCAGGAAGCGUGCGUCGAUGUUUCACUCAAAGCCGAGAGUCAAAGUGCUGACACCUGCAACGGCGCUGCUGAUGAGGGUAAGAGGGCAAAGGUCACAGGGGUCACGGUUGAUAUGACAGCGGGACCCUUAGCUGGUUCAGAACACAGCACGAGCCAGGGGGAAAGAGAAGAAGGCAGACAUGAAGGUGAUUCUGAACGUUUGAUGAAUGGCAAUGAGCAGAAAGAGGAAAGAGAAAAAGCAGCUGAUAUUUUAUUGUUGGUAAAUGAUAAUGUUGAAAGAGAAGUCUGCAAAAACGCAGAAGACACUGUAGGGCUAGUGAAUGACGAUGUGAAAAAAGAAAUCCCUGAGGUAAGAAAACAUGCUGUUGUUUCUGAAAAUGUGAAUCGGCACAACGAAGGUAGCCAACAACAAGUGGAUAAUGAUUGUUCGAUUAAGGGUGAACUGACACAAAAUGAUGCCGACAGCUUGGUGGAGCUUCAGAAGAAAGAGAGCACACAUGAGGGAGAGAGAGAAGGAAGCUUGGCCAGUGAUCAGUUAAAGCAGGAGCUAGUGUCAGAGUCAUCAACAACGGUGCCAGCUGAAACAGUCUUGCCUGAAUCAGACCCUGUCGAGUGUGAGUUACAGUCUGUCUCCUCCCCCCCUACUGUGGAUCCCAGCAUGGUCAGUACCUCCUCCCCCCCUACUGUUGAUCCCAGCAUGGUCAGUACCUCCUCCCCCCUUACUGUUGAUCCCAGCAUGGUCAGUACCUCCCCGUGUGAUGCUCUCUGGAUGCCACCUGACGUUCCCCAGGCUCUGCCCCCCUCCGUGGAGGUGACCCCUGAGAAACCACCCGUGACCUCUGUCGAAUCGGAGACACUGUUUAUUACCACGGAUGGAGCUGAUUCAACGAAACCAGACAACGCAGUCAGCCAACCUACGCAAAAUUCUGCCCCUCUGCCCCAAACCCAACCGAGCCAGGAGGGGGUCGAGGGCACUGCUACGGCUCCUCGGUCCUCUAUAGGCUCCCAUCCCGAGGCUGCCACGGAGACUGAGCCGGCUGCCGUGCCAACCAUUGUUCUGAAGCCUCCGGGCCCCAUGCUGAGUCACCGUGAGCUUGUAAACGAUUGUGAUGUCACGAGCACUGGCCCAUCUAAUGGCCUCUCAUGCCCUGAGGAGAGACAGGAUGUGGCUGUCAUGACGCACGGUAUUAUAAGUGAGGAUGUAGCCAGCAGAAGUGGAAGGAAUUAUGACUCGGCAGAAAGAAAAGAGGAGAAAGAGAGAAUUGCUUCGGCUCCUUUUCCACCUGUGAAUCCCGUAUCCGAGGAGACGGCUUCUGGCACCGCAGUGCAAGUCUUCUCCAGCAGCAGCAACGGCAGUCAACCUGAGGAGACGGCACAGCGUGACAGUCUGUCUGGGGGCGGUGUUGUUAAGUCAGUCUGUGAUACAGGAAGUGAGGGAUCAGAAGCCACCGGUGAGAGUGUGUCACUCCCUAACAACAGUCACGCUGAAGACUCAGUCACUGCAUCCACUGGGCCCACACUCCCUAACAACAGUCAAGCUGAAGACUCCACUGGGACCAGUGGCCCAGUCACAAAACCUGACAGCACAGAGGAAUCGAUUAAGGUUGAACAGGCCUUUUCAGCAAAAGUAAACACUUCUGAGAAGUCGUGUGAUAACGAAUCACUCACCUCCCAUUCAUCUGUCUCUGCAGACAGCACCGUCAAGAACAGCCAUGAUCCACUCAGCACCGCCAAGAACAGCCAUGAUCCUCUCACGGUUAAUGCUCCAGGCCAUGCUGCCCAGUCCCUCCAGGGGGACCUCAUCGGUAGCGGCCAUGACACCAGUACUGAGCUACCAACUAGCAUGCCCUCCGCUGUAAACAAAGAAGUAGGAAACAUAGAGGCUCUGCAAGGAGAGGGAGAAAUGGAGGGAAACCUGCAAAGCCUUAUGGGAGGGGAAGCAACACAAACACAACAGCUUUUUGAAGCAGAGAGUGUUCAGGGUGUUCAGUCUGAAGCAGAGUGUGUUCAGGGUGUUCAGUCUGAACACGAACAGGAGCAUGACGAGAAGAAACAAACGAGUAGCGUGGUGAAUGAAAUUGAGGGAAAACAGAGAAAAUCAGCCGAGCAGCUGGCAGACACACAAGAGGAAACUAACAUGCUGGAAAACACACAUGCAAACCAAGGAGAGGGUAGAGCUGAAACGCAAACAGAGAAACAGGUGGAAAUGCUUGAACGAGUCGAGGAUGACAGAAAAGUAAACACUGGAGAGAAACUGGGAGACUUGCUGACUCCUGACAAAAACAAGGAAGACAAACGACUGUUUGACAGCAGCCUUGAGCAGGCAGACUCGGCUAAACAGGUAGUCAGCCAGAGCAGGGACCUAAACGAGUCCGCUCGUCCAUCAUCAGAUCAGAGCCUCUCUGAGUCGCCCGCAGAGAUUCGCUCGGACGGAGUCCCUCAGAAGGCCGACUCAGCUCCUGUCUCACAGAGAGACUCCCAGCCCCAAGACCAACAGGAAGAGCAGCAGCAGCAGCAGAGCAGCAGAAGCUGCCAGAGCUUAGUAGCGGCCCAGUGGGGGUGCCAGACGGUGGCCCAGAGGAGUGUGAAAGUGUUGAUCCUGGGCUGA
rnacentral:lncRNA from 1 species